ACAAUUUUUAAAAGAACAACUUGAAAUUGUUUUCCAGAAUUAUUGGACCAGUUCACAGCUCCAUCAAUAGUGUAUUAGUGUGCCUUCUUUCCUUCACACCCUCCAACGUUUACUUGAAGUUCUGGGAAAGAACUCACCACUUGGAAGUGGGGGAGGAAUCAUCUUCCAGGACUAGAAGGCAGAAGAGGAUAGAAUGUAUUCCAAGAUGAGAAGACUGCUGGUAUGGAGACAUCUUCAUGGAUGAGCAGGCUGCUAGUAUGGAGGAAUCUUUCAGAGUAAGAAGGCUAUUGGAAUGGAGACAUCUUCCAGCAUGAGAGGGCUGCUAGCAUGGAGUCAUCUUCCAGGGGAUAAUGUAACAAGUUGGGCAGACAGCACCGGGGAGUUUCCGGAAAGAAGACAGACAGUGAGCUCAAGUGAUGGAGAAUGAGGAGUAAAAAAGAAAGAGAGAAAGGACUUGGAUGUAAGUUAAGAUGUUAUAAAAAACUCUUUCAGAUGUAACUUUAGAAGUGUUAAGGCUCUGUGAAUUUACUGAAAAACUGAACUGAAUUGCUGAAGGUAGGAGCAAAAUGAGUAGAAUCGAGAGAACAUUACAUAUAGCUACAGCAUGAAUAUUUGAAGAAUAGCUUGUGAAUGUCCACCUCCAAAGAAAGAACUGACAAAUAGAAAUACAAAAGGCAUUAAAAAUUGCUAAAGACAUAAAUGUUGGCAUUUCUACUGUGAUAUGAAUAUGUGAAGCUAGGAAAGAUAAUCAUGAU
rnacentral:lncRNA from 1 species